rnacentral:rRNA from 1 species
UGCCAGCAGUUGCGGUUAUACAAUUAGAGCUAAAGAGUUAUAUUAGCAAGUGUUAAUUGUAAUUUUGUAAUUAUAAAUAUUUGUUUUAAGGUAAAAUAUUAAUUUAUAUCUGGUUAGGGAUUAAAAUACAUGAAAGCUUUCCAUUAAACUAGGAUUAGAUACCCUAUUAUAUAUAGCUGUUAAUUGGUAUGCUUGGUAUUAAUAGAUAAGAUCUUUAAAUUAAAAAAAUUUGGCGGUAUCUCAUUCUUUCUAGAGGAACUUGUUCUAUAAUCGAUAUUCCACGUUUUGAUAAACUUUAAUGUGACUUGUAUACCUCUAUCAUUGAAUGUCUUAGUAGAGUAUUUUCUUUAAUUAUUAUAUUUAAAAUGUUAGGUCAAGGUGCAGUGGUAUUAAAGAAGAAAUGAGUUACAUUUAUAUGAUUAGUAAAUGUUAAAUUUUCAAUUUAAUUGAAAUUGGAUUUAGAAGUAAUUUUUGUUCAUUAUCAGUUUUGAUAAAGUUUUGAGAUAUGCACACAUCGCCCGUCGCUCUCAUUUAAUUGAGAUAAGUCGUAACAAAGUAGUUUUACCGGAAGGUGAAUCUAGAUUUACU